AUGGAGCCACUGUUCGCCAUUUUUGGAGGGGAACCAGGAGCCUUCCCAUGUCAGUACCUAGGACUCCCUCUCGGGACCCGGAAGCCGAGGAGGGUUGAGCUGCAGCCGUUGCUUGAUAAGAUUGCUGGAAGACUAUCUAACAGAAAGGGGAGGAUGAUGAACCGUAUGGGUAGGCUGGUGUACAUUAACUCGGUGGUCACAGCCACGGCUACCUAUUAUCUAACGGCCUUCCAGCCGGACAAGUGGCUGAUCAAGAAAAUGGACAAACUUAGGAAGAAUUUCCUUUGGGAUGCGGACGAUGGAAACAUUGGGGGAAAGAGCUUGGUUAACUGGAGACAAGUUUGCACACCAAAACAAUAUGGUGGCCUGGGGGUGAAGAACAUUGAGUGCUUUGGCCGGGCAUUGAGGCUUCGCUGGGAGUGGUUUAGAUGGGGAGAGGAGGACGGGCCGUGGAAGGGCUAG
rnacentral:rRNA from 1 species